UACGGAGGGUGCAAGCGUUACUCGGAAUUACUGGGCGUAAAGCGUGCGCAGGCGGUUUGUUAAGUCUGUCGUGAAAUCCCCGGGCUCAACCUGGGAAUGGCGAUGGAUACUGGCGAGCUAGAGUGUGUCAGAGGAUGGUGGAAUUCCCGGUGUAGCGGUGAAAUGCGUAGAGAUCGGGAGGAACAUCAGUGGCGAAGGCGGCCAUCUGGGACAACACUGACGCUGAAGCACGAAAGCGUGGGGAGCAAACAGG
rnacentral:rRNA from 1 species